rnacentral:lncRNA from 1 species
CUGAGCAAGCGCCCGCCAGCAUUGCUUUGCAGCAGCGACUUCUCCAAAGUGCCCUGUGUGCGUGCUGGCACGCAGGCUGCUUUCUGCCGCCCGAGCCCCGCGCUGGCUGCCCCGAGCCUCUGCCCCCGGCACAUGGCUCUCCCCGGGAGGCCUGCUGCGGCUGCCCCCAGCACACAGCCUCCAAGGCGGUCCCUGCUCUUCCUCCCAGCAGAUGUGGUUCCACCUUCCUGCUCAAGCASCGGGUGCCUCUCAGCRACCUCUGGGUGCUGUGCRRGAARGACGAGRCGGCGUGCGGCUGYGAAGAUGAGGAGGACGUUUUUGGCCUCAAAUGCGCCAAUUCCCUCGUCCUGGUCUGGACCACCAAGGUCUGCGUGGUCACCUUCCGGUCGCAGGAGGUGAAGGAGCAGUGGCUGAACACCAUGCUCAGGCAGAGCCCAGGAGCCCCGGGUCAGCCGCCUGCCCUGCCUUCGGCUCCUCAUCAAGKCCGUCGGCUUCGACGCUCCCGUAAGUGUCCCGGGGGUUUCCGCUGCGCCCCAAGUGCCACGGGGCUUUGGGGAAGGGCCCCCGCCACCAGCUGCUCACRUGGCUUCUCUGCUCUCUUGCCUAGUCGGGGUCACCGACUGCCCGCAGCAUGGAGGCCUUGACUGCGGCCAAGGUGAGUGGGGGCUGCCUCUGCCCUGGCCCUGGCUGGGUGCUGGCGGGAGGCAUCGGAGUUUCGGGAGGGCACGUGGCAGGGCCCGAAGCCCUGCAGACACCGGUCGGUCGCUGCUGCAUGGGGCCAUUCCUGCAGCCCAGCAUCUCCUCCACAGGAGUGUGACGACCUCGGCUCUUCCCUGCAGCUGCUCACAGCUCUCUGCGUGCCUGAAGCAGCUCCGGAGGCACCCGAGCACAYGGGCAGCUCYGCAGGUAGGACGAUGCACUGAGCAUUGGCACCGAGCAGGGCUGCUGGUGCCAGUUGUGUAGCUGGAGAUCGCAAGGCGCCUGUGGCCAUGCCGAGGGGGGCAGAGGGCUCGAGACCUUCUGGCAGUGCUUUCCUCCUGCCACACUUCCCAGAAGUUCAGAAUGACAAUACUCACUCCACAAAAGGCAUCGCACGUGUUGAACCUCUGUAGCCCUCUGCUCUUCACAGCGCUGCUCACUAGGGACUGCAGCUGCACUCCCCGGGCAGGAUACUGCCCCCGCGGGGACUUGKSUCUCCUCCUGAACUGCUCCUCACCUCCAUAGCUGCUAAGGGUGCCCCUUGCCAUGUGCCACGUGCGGGGCUGCGUGCUCCCACCGGAAAAGUCCCCUUUUGCCCCUUCAGAGGCCCAGGAAAAAGGAGCUGACAGCCUCUUUCUCCCCACAGCACACCCAGGUGCUGCUCUGGAGGAYKCCUCUGCCCUCCWCAGCCCAGAGGCUGAAGCUGCCUGCGGCCCCCCAACCGCUGAGACGCAGCAGCCCAGAGGGAAAAGCCCCAGCGGGAGGCGCAGAAAUGCCUCGUGCGUCUCUGCUCCUCCACUGCCUGCUCAGAG